rnacentral:rRNA from 1 species
CGAACGGGUGAGUAACGCGUGAGGAACCUGCCUCAAAGAGGGGGACAACAGUUGGAAACGACUGCUAAUACCGCAUAAGCCCACGGCUCGGCAUCGAGCAGAGGGAAAAGGAGUGAUCCGCUUUGAGAUGGCCUCGCGUCCGAUUAGCUAGUUGGUGAGGUAACGGCCCACCAAGGCAACGAUCGGUAGCCGGACUGGGAGGUUGAACGGCCACAUUGGGACUGAGACACGGCCCAG